rnacentral:rRNA from 1 species
GACGGUACCUAAUGUAAGCAUCGGCUAACUCCGUGCCAGCAGCCGCGGUAAUACGGAGGAUGCAAGCGUUAUCCGGAAUCAUUGGGCGUAAAGAGUCCGUAGGUGGCACUUCAAGUCUGCUUUCAAAGACCGAAGCUCAACUUCGGAAAGGGAGUGGAAACUGAAGAGCUAGAGUAUAGUAGGGGUAGAGGGAAUUCCUAGUGUAGCGGUGAAAUGCGUAGAGAUUAGGAAGAACACCAGUGGCGAAGGCGCUCUACUGGGCAUAUACUGACACUGAGGGACGAAAGCUAGGGGAGCGAAAGGGAUUAGAUACCCCUGUAGUCCUAGCGGUAAACGAUGGAUACUAGGCGUAGUGCUGUUAGAAGGACUGUGCCGAAGCUAACGCGUUAAGUAUCCCGCCUGGGGAGUACGCACGCAAGUGUGAAACUCAAAGGAAUUGACGGGGACCCGCACAAGCGGUGGAGUAUGUGGUUUAAUUCGAUGCAACGCGAAGAACCUUACCAAGGCUUGACAUCCUGCGAAUCUUAGAGAAAUCUGAGAGUGCCUAAGGGAACGCAGAGACAGGUGGUGCAUGGCUGUCGUCAGCUCGUGUCGUGAGAUGUUGGGUUAAGUCCCGCAACGAGCGCAACCCUCGUCCUUAGUUGCCAGCAUUAAGUUGGGGACUCUAGGGAGACCGCCGGGGAGAACUCGGAGGAAGGUGGGGAUGACGUCAAGUCAGCAUGCCCCUUACGUCUUGGGCUACACACGUACUACAAUGGUUGGGACAAAGGGGAGCGAAACCGCGAGGUGGAGCGAAUCUCAUCAAACCCAGCCACAGUUCAGAUUGCAGGCUGAAACUCGCCUGCAUGAAGGAGGAAUCGCUAGUAAUCGCAGGUCAGCAUACUGCGGUGAAUCCGUUCC